GUAAAGAAUCUUCCGCAAUGGGCUAACGCCUGACGGAGCAACACUGCGUGGAGGAUGAAGGCUUUCGGGUCGUAAACUCCUUUUCUGGGGGAAGAAGUUCUGACGGUACCCCAGGAAUAAGCGACGGCAAACUACGUGCCAGCAGCCGCGGUAAUACGUAGGUCGCAAGCGUUAUCCGGAAUUAUUGGGCGUAAAGCGUCCGUAUGCGGUUUUUUAAGUCCGUGGUUAAAUCCCAGAGCUCAACUCUGGAAUCGUCAUGGAAACUGGAAAACUUGAGGUGUGCAGAGGCAGAUGGAAUUUCGGAAGUAGGGGUAAAAUCCGUAGAUCUCCGAAGGAACACCAAACGCGAAGGCAUUCUGCUGGGCACAAUCUGACGCUGAGGGACGAAAGCGUGGGGAGCAAACAGGAUUAGAAACCCGAGUAGUCC
rnacentral:rRNA from 1 species